AUUCAGUGACCGACCUUGUUCACAGCUGGUUGUGCAGCCUGAACAAAGACCCACCUGACAUCUAAAUUUGUGGAAAACCUCUGAACUCGGCACCAUCACWUCAACUGAAAUUGUUUCCUUAACAUUUUUUUAGGGUGCCUGUGUUCCUUAACUCUAUUUUGGAUGGGAUUUUCGUUCUCUUCAUUGCCAGCUACAGAAAUUGAUGAUUUUUUAAGGCCUUGCAUUCCGGUUUUUGUGUGGCAGUAAGGUAGAAACCAAGGCAGUUGGAAAGCUGGGCUGCUCUCUGCAGGGCAAGGAAGAGAGAACAUGCAUCAUUUUGACAGUGCUGAUAAUUUGG